GACGAACGCUGGCGGCGUGCUUAACACAUGCAAGUCGAACGGAAAGGCCCUGCUUUUGUGGGGUGCUCGAGUGGCGAACGGGUGAGUAACACGUGAGUAACCUGCCCUUGACUUUGGGAUAACUUCAGGAAACUGGGGCUAAUACCGGAUAGGAGCUCCUGCUGCAUGGUGGGGGUUGGAAAGUUUCGGCGGUUGGGGAUGGACUCGCGGCUUAUCAGCUUGUUGGUGGGGUAGUGGCUUACCAAGGCUUUGACGGGUAGCCGGCCUGAGAGGGUGACCGGCCACAUGGGGACGGAGAUACGGCCCAGACUCCUACGGGAGGCAGCAGGGGGGAAUAGGGCACAAGGGGCGGAAGCCUGAUGCAGCAACGCCGCGGGGGGGAUGACGGCGUUCGGGUUGGAAACCGCUUUCGCCUGUGACGAAGCGUGAGUGACGGUAAUGGGUAAAGAAGCACCGGCUAACUACGUG
rnacentral:rRNA from 1 species